rnacentral:tRNA from 1 species
GGUUGUAUGGUGUAAUGGUUAGCACUUUGGAUUUUGAAUCCAGCGAUCCGAGUUCAAAUCUCGAUAGAACCU